ACACCCUCCCACAAUGACAUGCUAACAACAAAACACACAAACAGAUUACUGAUUUCCCUCUCCUUUGCACACAGAUCUGCCAUCAAAAAAACCUUAUUUAUGCACACUGGCUAGCCCAAAAGGUGAGGAGGGACAAAACCCAUAUCUCUAGGCAAGGGGAAGGCCUCGAACAGGUAAGGAUGCAAAAUGGUUUUGUAGAAAAAGAAAGAAAAAGAUGAGAGAGCUUGAAAGAAUCUUGUUUUUGAGAGUCCCCUAGGUAAUUGGAACUAUGAUAGAAAAUGGGAGAGUCCAA
rnacentral:misc_RNA from 1 species